GACAGACAAAGCCAAACCUGUUCGUAAGACAGGGACGGAAAGCCACGGAUCUUAAUCAAGACCGCCGGGUUACCUGU
rnacentral:ncRNA from 1 species